GACGUAGGGCGCGAGCGUUGUCCGGAUUUAUUGGGCGUAAAGAGCUUGUAGGCGGUCUGGCGCGUCUGCUGUGAAAAUCCGGGGCUCAACCCCGGACUUGCAGUGGGUACGGGCAGACUAGAGUGUGGUAGGGGAGACUGGAAUUCCUGGUGUAGCGGUGAAAUGCGCAGAUAUCAGGAGGAACACCGAUGGCGAAGGCAGGUCUCUGGGCCACUACUGACGCUGAGAAGCGAAAGCAUGGGGAGCGAACAGG
rnacentral:rRNA from 1 species